CCAGUUUAUAAAUUACUGUUUUCAUUAAAAAUGAGUUCAAAAAUCAGGUCCCACUUAUCUUUGUUAAAACCUUAAAUUUUUUUUAGCUGUAUGAUUUCAUUAUAUGAAUUACAGAACAGUAAUAGAGUAAUAUUACUCUUAAGCCUGAUCACUUAAAUUUAAGACAUUCAAACCCAACAAUGCACUAGGUUCUUUAGUUCAAGUUAUGCAAAUAAUAUACAUUUUUUAUUCCACUUCCCACCAGGUUAUACAUGUAUUAUAAACACAACAAAGACCUCUUUCUUGUACAGUACAUUACUCAGAAGCUGGUAAAAAAUAGAAGCCAAAAUAUUGUAAAUUACAUACUUAAAAUGGUUUGGCUCUGUACUACUGGCUGACAUACUUUAAAUGUUAAAGAGAAGCUGGGACUGGAAAAAGAAAUGUUGACUCACUGUUACCUACUACUGUUGUCAUUCAUACUGAUGUUCUUCAAUGUCUAAAUCAGAUUAUUAUCUUUGUUUUCUUUAGAGUGGAACUAGCAGACCCAGCUUUGCUACAUUUGGAAAAUCAGCAGGGGGAAUGGUCAUCUCAAAAAGACAAAAAUAAAAGAAGGGACUGAAAUUUAACAUAAAUUACCAUGGCUGUCCCUGAACUCAAAACUGGAGAGGACCUUUUUAUUCUCUUACACAAAGCUGACAAACAAAAUCAAUAUGGAUUAUUUCCCAAACAUUGUUUCCUAAAUAUUUUGUAACAGUGCAUAGUGUAGUGCAUUUAUUUUAAAAAUAUAGCCACCAACAUAUUAAUUCCACUUCAGCAUUAAAAGAAAAAAAGCUAAACUUUAGGAAAUUAUAAAUACUGAGUUCAGUCUUAUGAUGAAAAUAAUAUACACAUUAUUCAUAGACUUAGACCCCAAAUUGUAUGCUAACUGGUGAGAUUUCUGUGUCUUUCCCCUGGUUUCCACAUUCCCAUUUAUGCCUAAGGUAGUCCAUUGAUAUCUUGCUCAAUUCAAUAAAAGUCAGCAAAAAAAAAAAAAAAGAUUUUCCCAAAAAAAUGAACAUAAGCAUGUUUAUAUGUCUCUGAAGUAUAGAGGUUAGUCUCAUUAUAGUGUCAUACCUUAAAAAAAAAAUCCCUUCACUAAGGGACCCUUAUUUAUUCCAGGCAAAUUGAAAAAAAAAUAAAAGUGGAAAAUAAGAAAUUCAGACUUUUGGCUUCAUGACGUAACAUGAGCUCUGUGGGAACAAGGGCGCGUUCCUUUAUACUUGUCUGCAAUCUGAGCUCAGUGGCUUUGAAAGCUCUGAAGUCUUCCACAAAACUCUUUCCUCCCUUUCCCCCCUAUUUUUUAAAAAAACCACACACACACACACACACACAAAAACACACACACACAAAAACAAACAAAAAAAAAACCCACCACCUCAACUAACUGAUAGAAUCUCAUCAGCAUUUCUAACAGAAAUUCUCACCUCGUGUCCCUUCCUGUGAUAGAGGGAAGGACCAGUCUCUGGAGUACGAGGCAAAUCACUCCCAGCCGCCGGUUAAAUUCAACAAGUGUCACUUGCACUCCUGUCAGCAUCCAGCUCUUUAUACAAGGAAGAAGGGCCGCAUUGGAUGGCAGGAGGGUUCAUUUAAGAUGGUGCAUCAUCUUUUCUGAUGCUGCCAGUCUGCCCCUGGGUCUGUGGACUGCUUCUUUCCUAACAAAAUGUAGGCACAGAAUCACAUUUACUGUCACAAAACAUUAACGGUACUGAUGUGAAAGUUUGAAAAUUGCCCUCCAUUGGAUUGCUAUUAAGGAAAAAAAAAAGGGACUGUGAGGUCAGAAUUAUUUCUUAAUUGCAUUUCACACCUGGUUAAGAUAGUGUCUACAGCUGCAAGGAGAUGAAAGGAGUGAUUGAUCCUUGAAAAGAGAAUAGGUAGGGUAGGCACUGGAAGGCUGGAGAGCAAGGCACACUGGGGUGGAGUGAAAAGCAGAGUUCACUUUUGGUAGAAUUAAUUUCUUGCCAGCAUUUGAAAAAGAGGAAGGUGGCUCUGGAAGCAGCCUUCAUUCUCCAUUGCUGAUGGCAAAUCCUCCACCAUAACAGUUUCACUUUUUCUUUCUUUCUUUUUUUUUUUUUUUUAAUUUGAGUGGGGUACUAAAGAAAUAAAAUAUCUUGACAACCACUAGCGUUGUCUUGUGACUUUAAAAAAAAUCAGCCUGUGAAGUAUCACUGCUCUGUUUUAGUCUAAUGCUACUUCUAUCUUUUAUCCUUUUUAAUUAGAAGGCAAAUUCUCAGACCGCCAGGCCUAAUCCCUACACAGUGGAACAAAGCCCAGCAAAGCCUUUGAACACUGUUCAGCCGGGCAGCACAAACCCCAGUAACUGUUGGCAGUAGGGGCAGGACUCUGACCCUCAUCUCAGCCAUUCUCCUGCAGCUCCUGAUGCUCCCUGCCCUUCAGAACUCUAUCUGUUGUUCUUCUGUUUAGACUGAAAAGACAAAAGAGGAGACAAUGUGGGAAACCUAGAGGAUUGGCUAGGUAGGAUGCAGAGAGCUAGUGAUGGAUAGGGGCAAGUAAAUGGAGUUUCACGGGAAUGGACACAGUGGGGAGAAUUGGAUCACCAGAUUAGGUCUUUAGGUUCAAGAAAUUUCUUCAUCCCUCACUAAAUCUUUUCAUGGACAAUGCCACUUUUUAAACAAUUGUUGCAUUUCCAAUUACUCCAGGAGUGUUCAAACAAAUGCCCCCAAACCCUCCCUGAAAAGUUUGCUUAUAUUUUAAACUUGCCAGAUGAAAAUCAAUAAAACCAACACCCCCAAAAUCAGUGGCAGACACUUAUAUUUCCAAAGUAUUUACACUUGUAAUAGUAGUUGAGUCAAGAGCAUAAUUUCAGCCCACUCAAGCAAAACAGGCAACUAGAUAGAAACGUGUAUUUUUCAAAGCUAAUGGGAGCAAUCAUGAAUCAAAAAGCCAAAUUCCAAGUAUGCAAAUAUGAAAAAGGAUUGUUCGCAUUUCCCACUUUGGCUAACUGUGAAUUAUCGAACAGUGAAACAACAGAUGCUACUACCAUGCCGCAAACUCUUCCAAGUUGUUCUUAGAUUGAGCUACGUAUGUGUGGGAAUUACUGUCUGGUGCCAGGGUGCUUGAGAGUUGUGGGAUUUGUGAAGAAGAUAUGCAUUUUCUGCAUUUUGAGAUAUGUAGGAUAGAUGUUUCAGGGGAAAAAGGGACGGAAAACCAAAAAUCUGUUAUUGGAAACAUUUUUAGCAGUCUCUCCCACCCCUCAAUACAGGUUUCACAAAGCCACUUUCAUUUUUUUCCCCUUCGGAUGUCUACAGAAACACCAGUAAAUGAGUGCUAUACUUAACCCAAUCAUUAUGGUUUUCUUUAUAACCAAAUAUAAAAUGUGUUGCUGAUCUGGCUUUGGGUGAUUAAGAGGUUAAUUUAAAUCAUAGGAAAGGAUUCAGUCAGGGAUUUGGAUGAAUGAUGUUCAAUAAACAUGUGCAUUUAAUCAUAUAAUCUUAAAUUCAAAGUUACAGCCAAGCCCUUCUUAAGGAAGUUCCCAUUUUUAAAGAUCUUGGUAGGACAAAUGUACUGAGUCUUAUAUUUAAAUAAAAUAUGCUUUGGGAAUUUUUAAAAUGUAUAUUUUACAUUGAUUUCUAGCACAUUUGUUCUGAGAAUGUGUUUAUCUUAUUAAAGGGACAGCACUGUAUGUAAUUUUAGUCAAUUUCUAUAUAAUAUCUGUUAUUCAAAUGACAAACCCAAUAUCUUCCUCAGCAUUCUUUUACUUUGCGCUUCAUAGGCAAAUCCUUUCUCUAGGUCAAACAGUGGUAAAAUGUACAAAGAUAAUCAAACACAACUACAGAUAGUAUUUUCUAAGAAUAACACAGUGUUCUGAUAGUCUUCUAUCAGUCUGAUUUUGUGAUUAUCUUAACCUUGGAUAUCUUACAAUAUUAUGAAUACCUACCUAUAUUAAUGCUCUUUCCACACACCUUAUGUUCAUUUUUUUUCUUUUUUUAAUUGAAAACUGAAAAAUUAGGAUACACUAAUUAUUCCGGGGGCUCACCACAGUGAUCACAAUUUGCAAAUGAAAAUACUUUAAAAAUUAAAAAAAAAAAAAACCUCUUCAUAAAGAUAGAAACCCGUUAAAGAAACUGUCUAAAUGUUUGCACACAUUUCACUGUCUAAUGCUCCGAUGGAAAUGAUCAAUAAACAUUUGCAUAAAAAGAGCAGACUCAUUAUGCAUGUGAGUUUUAAUAGUCAUUGGGAAUUUUUGCCUAGUGGGAAAUUAUUUCUUGUCCUGCAUGCACAGGCUGACUUUGGCAGGCAUGUUAUGAAAGGCCAUGGACAACAUGUUGUAGUGACAUUUAAUACUACAUUUCCAAAAGAAGCUUCUUGAGACCCAGAGGUAGUCCUGAAAAUGCACAUACACCACAGCUAAACGCAGUUUCCACAAAUCAAACCUGGCAUCACUUCUAUCAGGGAAUGGCUUUUGUGUUUAUUUUUGUCUCCUCAUCACUGUCAUCUACCUACUCACCUUGAUCAUGUAUAUGAAUUAAUUUUAUUAGAAUGGAAUGGGAAAGACUCUAGAUCAGAGGAACCCAAAGCUUUUGAAAACAGCUUUUCUUUUAAGAAACUAAGACUUGCACGAACACUGACAACGCAGUGUACCUUGUUAUUCAACAUGGUUGAAUAUACUCAUUAAUACUUAUUAGAAUGUGAAAAUGAAAACAACUACUAUAUAUCCUAUUUUUCUCUUUCUAAGAACUCAUGUAAUUUAGCUUUACAUAAUAGCCUUGAGUGAAUAGGGCUGCCAAAGUUAAAAUAUUUUGUGAGCAGGUUAGUUUUUGUUAUUGUUCCUCAGUUUCUACCACUGAAUUAGGCUUUCUUUGAUAAGAAUAAAAACUUAGAGGGUUUCUGAUGCUUAUAACGUAAUGUAAAUGACCAAAAAUACUAAGCUCAAUCAAACAAAUAC
rnacentral:lncRNA from 1 species